rnacentral:rRNA from 1 species
UACGGAGGGUGCGAGCGUUGUUCGGAAUCACUGGGCGUAAAGGGCGUGUAGGCGGUCCGCUAAGUCUGAUGUGAAAGCCCGGGGCUCACCCUCGGAAGGGCAUUGGAAACUGGCGGACUCGAGUCCCGGAGAGGAAGGUGGAAUUCCUGGUGUAGCGGUGAAAUGCGUAGAUAUCAGGAGGAAUACCGAUGGCGAAGGCGGCCUUCUGGACGGUGACUGACGCUGAGACGCGAAAGCGUGGGGAGCAAACAGG